rnacentral:rRNA from 1 species
ACCAUGCAAGUCGAGCGGAAGGCCCUUCGGGGUACUCGAGCGGCGAACGGGUGAGUAACACGUGAGUAAUCUGCCCCAGGCUCUGGGAUAGCCACCGGAAACGGUGAUUAAUACCGGAUACGACAACCGAUUGCAUGAUCUGGUUGUGGAAAGUUUUUCGGCCUGGGAUGUGCUCGCGGCCUAUCAGCUUGUUGGUGAGGUAAUGGCUCACCAAGGCUUCGACGGGUAGCCGGCCUGAGAGGGUGACCGGCCACACUGGGACUGAGACACGGCCCAGACUCCUACGGGAGGCAGCAGUGGGGAAUAUUGGACAAUGGGCGGAAGCCUGAUCCAGCAACGCCGCGUGAGGGAUGACGGCCUUCGGGUUGUAAACCUCUUUCAGCACAGACGAAGCGCAAGUGACGGUAUGUGCAGAAGAAGGACCGGCCAACUACGUGCCAGCAGCCGCGGUAAUACGUAGGGUCCGAGCGUUGUCCGGAAUUAUUGGGCGUAAAGGGCUCGUAGGCGGUCUGUCGCGUCGGGAGUGAAAACCAGGUGCUUAACACCUGGCCUGCUUUCGAUACGGGCAGACUAGAGGUACUCAGGGGAGAAUGGAAUUCCUGGUGUAGCGGUGAAAUGCGCAGAUAUCAGGAGGAACACCGGUGGCGAAGGCGGUUCUCUGGGAGUAUCCUGACGCUGAGGAGCGAAAGUGUGGGGAGCGAA